AGAGGACCGCGACCUUCCUCUCUCUCUGCCUUCCCUCUUUCCGACCGACGAACCACCGCACGGGACCAGCGAGAGGACCGCGAGCAAUCGACGAACCACUGCACGGGACUGGCGAGAGAACCGCGACCUCCCUCUCUCUCUGCCCUCCCUUUUUUUCCCUAGUGUUCUGAUGGUGGAUCUGGAGUUGCAUAUGGAGGACGAUGUGAUGUCUUACAUCAACCUCGACGGCUUCUUCGGCGACCUCCCUGAGGCCGGUGACCUCAUUGGGCGACGUCAUCGGCGCUUGCUCCUCGACGAACGCAUCGUCGUCGUCUCCAGACUCGGGGCUCUCGUGGUUCGACGAGAUCGAGAACAUCCUGAUGAAGGACGACGAGGACGGCGGAGUUGUUGGUGGCGGGAUUAGGGCUGAUUCGAGCCAGGCACUCUGCGAUAGGUUCCUCGCUGACGUUCUGCGAUAGGUUCCUGCAUUUUCCAGGUUCUUCUCCAAAUCCGCUACGUGUGCGGGUAGCUGCUGAGAAAAGCAUUUGGAGAGCAAAAGCGAAGGUUGGGAUACCGGAGUUUUUUGGCAGGGUAUUGGCUGAGGGGUCGAAGCCCAUGUUGCCAAGCUCGAGUCUGAGAUUGGCAACUUCAACAGAAGUGCGGACAUGGCACUACUCAAUUUGUGCCCUUCAUAUGACUUUGAGGCUCUUUCUGACCGACCGGCGUGCGACCUCCCUCUCUCUCUCUACGCUCCCUCUUUCCAACCAGCGAACCACCGUGCCACCCCUCCGACUCCAGAUCUGGCCCCGACUCGUCCGUCCCCUGCUCUUGCUCUCCCCUUGCCUCUCUGUCUGCCCUCCCUCUCUUUGUGGCGAACCAGUGCGUGACCGGCAAACCACCACGCCCCCCCUCCGACUCCAAAUCCAGCACCGGCUUGUCCAAGUAAUUUCUUGCUUUCUCUUUUCUCUCUUUCUCUCUAUUUGACAGGGCGACAGAAGGGAUUUUAGGAGUUCAGCGAUGCCUGAAAAGUCAUUAGUUAUGUUGUUAUCGCAUGGGUACCAAUUUUAACCUUAGGCAAAGCUUUCACUUGGUCCCAAAAUUGCAAGUUUUUACUUUUUUUCGUGGUCAUCAUUCUGCAUAGUUGCGAUAAUUCGUUUCCAUGCCUAUUUGGAAGCUAAACUCUUAACACCCCUAGGUUGCCAUUUUUGCAUGUGAAGCUUCUUAGGAGCAAUUUGAACUGGUGAAAAUCUUAGAAGGGGGUAAGGUGUAUAUUAAUUGGCGUUUUAUGGGCAAGCAAGAAGGUGAAAGUACUAACCACUUGUUGCUACAGACUAGUGUGACUAGAGAGCUUUGAGAGCUGCUACUAUGUGGGGUGUUCAAUAGGUCAUGCCGUACUUGGUGAAAGAAGUUUAGGGUUUAGCAAAGGACUUACUUAGGUGAGAAAUAAGAGAACCUCUUGAAAUGGAAACUUUGGGAGUGCUUAACAAAGUGCUGUUGUAAUCUAGUACUUUAAUGUGAGUGUGCUUUUUUUAUUGGUCUGAGGUGUACAUAUAUCAUGUUGAUGAUGUAAAGUUAAGAGAGUUUGGACUGCCUAUUGUUUUUGCUGUCAUAAAUAUAUGAUACAACUAAUAUAUUGUGUCUGUUGACUUUGUCCAUCUCUCUUUCUGUCAAUCUGAUGUGCAGCACGUUAUUCACGUGCAUUCUUUAUGAUUUGCAGCACCUUAUGCAAUGCUUUUGCUGGUCUAUAUCAAGGAUAAUGUCCUAUUCAGAAUGUAUUAGCUAUAGUUUAAACGGCUUACGCCUGGAAUCCAUUUUCAGUAUGUGCUGGUUAUUUGUGGUGUUCAAUAGGUCAGGCUGUAUUUGGUGAAAGAAGUUUAGGGUUUAGCAAAGGACUUACGUAGGUGAGAAAUAAGAGAACCUCUUGAAAUGGAAACUUUGGGAGUGCUUAACAAAGUGCUGUU